UGCACCUUGGCUUAGUUGGUUAAGGCGCCUGUCUAGUAAACAGGAGAUUUUGAGUUCAAAUCUAGCUGGUGCCU